rnacentral:rRNA from 1 species
CAAGGCUGAGGUGUGAUGACGAGGCACUACGGUGCUGAAGUAACAAAUGCCCUGCUUCCAGGAAAAGCCUCUAAGCAUCAGGUAACAUCAAAUCGUACCCCAAACCGACACAGGUGGUCAGGUAGAGAAUACCAAGGCGCUUGAGAGAACUCGGGUGAAGGAACUAGGCAAAAUGGUGCCGUAACUUCGGGAGAAGGCACGCUGGUGUGUAGGUGAAGUCCCUGCGGAUGGAGCUGAGACCAGUCGAAGAUACCAGCUGGCUGCAACUGUUUAUUAAAAACACAGCACUGUGCAAACACGAAAGUGGACGUAUACGGUGUGACGCCUGCCCGGUGCCGGAAGGUUAAUUGAUGGGGUUAUCCGUAAGGAGAAGCUCUUGAUCGAAGCCCCGGUAAACGGCGGCCGUAACUAUAACGGUCCUAAGGUAGCGAAAUUCCUUGUCGGGUAAGUUCCGACCUGCACGAAUGGCGUAAUGAUGGCCAGGCUGUCUCCACCCGAGACUCAGUGAAAUUGAACUCGCUGUGAAGAUGCAGUGUACCCGCGGCAAGACGGAAAGACCCCGUGAACCUUUACUAUAGCUUGACACUGAACAUUGAGCCUUGAUGUGUAGGAUAGGUGGGAGGCUUUGAAGCGUGGACGCCAGUCUGCGUGGAGCCAACCUUGAAAUACCACCCUUUAAUGUUUGAUGUUCUAACGUUGGCCCCUGACCGGGGUUGCGGACAGUGUCUGGUGGGUAGUUUGACUGGGGCGGUCUCCUCCCAAAGCGUAACGGAGGAGCACGAAGGUUAGCUAAUCCUGGUCGGACAUCAGGAGGUUAGUGCAAUGGCAUAAGCUAGCUUGACUGCGAGCGUGACGGCGCGAGCAGGUGCGAAAGCAGGUCAUAGUGAUCCGGUGGUUCUGAAUGGAAGGGCCAUCGCUCAACGGAUAAAAGGUACUCCGGGGAUAACAGGCUGAUACCGCCCAAGAGUUCAUAUCGACGGCGGUGUUUGGCACCUCGAUGUCGGCUCAUCACAUCCUGGGGCUGAAGUAGGUCCCAAGGGUAUGGCUGUUCGCCAUUUAAAGUGGUACGCGAGCUGGGUUUAGAACGUCGUGAGACAGUUCGGUCCCUAUCUGCCGUGGGCGCUGGAGAAUUGAGGGGGGCUGCUCCUAGUACGAGAGGACCGGAGUGGACGCAUCACUGGUGUUCGGGUUGUCAUGCCAAUGGCACUGCCCGGUAGCUAAAUGCGGAAGAGAUAAGUGCUGAAAGCAUCUAAGCACGAAACUUGCCCCGAGAUGAGUUCUCCCUGAGACUUUAAGUCUCCUGAAGGAACGUUAAAGACGAUGACGUUGAUAGGCCGGGUGUGUAAGCGCAGCGAUGCGUUGAGCUAACCGGUACUAAUGAACCGUGAGGCUUAACCUU